UAUAUGUGGGGCAAGCGUUGUUCGGAAUUACUGGGCAUAAAGGGUGCGUAGGCGGCUUGUUAAGUCAGGGGUGAAAGUUUUCGGCCCAACCGGAAAAUUGCCUUUGAUACUGGCGAGCUCGAGUGCGUGAGGGGUAACCGGAACGAGCAGUGUAGCGGUGAAAUGCGUAGAUAUUGCUCGGAAGGCCAACGGCGAAGGCAGGUUACUGGUACGCAACUGACGCUGAUGCACGAAAGCGUGGGGAGC
rnacentral:rRNA from 1 species